AUUGAACGCUGGCGGCAUGCUUUACACAUGCAAGUCGAACGGCAGCACGGGAGCUUGCUCCUGGUGGCGAGUGGCGAACGGGUGAGUAAUGCAUCGGAACGUACCCAGUAGUGGGGGAUAGCCCGGCGAAAGCCGGAUUAAUACCGCAUAUUUCCUGAGGGAGAAAGCGGGGGACCUUCGGGCCUCGCGCUACUGGAGCGGCUGAUGUCGGAUUAGCUAGUUGGUGAGGUAAAGGCUCACCAAGGCGACGAUCCGUAGCUGGUCUGAGAGGAUGAUCAGCCACACUGGGACUGAGACACGGCCCAGACUCCUACGGGAGGCAGCAGUGGGGAAUUUUGGACAAUGGGGGCAACCCUGAUCCAGCCAUGCCGCGUGAGUGAAGAAGGCCUUCGGGUCGUAAACGG
rnacentral:rRNA from 1 species